GAAAAAUCCAUAGUGUUGGGUUUAUUAUACUUUUGGUGAAACUUAACCCAUGUCAUUGACCUAUGUCGAUUGAUGUUGUCAUGACUGGUUUGAAAAUGUUUAAUGGUUGGGUUAAAGGAGUUAAGCUAAUUAAGUAUAUGUUUGCAUUUUUUGCUUGCCUACCGAGGGACUUGCUGUGCUGGUUAUCCGUAAUGCGGAUAAAAUGAACUCUGCAAAGAAGGCUAAUGCUGGAACUAUAUCAAUUGAUGAGAUGGCUGGAGGCACUCUUACAAUAUCAAAUGGUGGUGUUUACGGCAGUCUUUUUAGUACCCCUAUUAUCAACCCACCUCAGGUUUGCAUGUUCUGCUAAGAAGGCACUUAUUAUGGUUUAUAUUUUAUAGUACAUUCUUAGGUUUAGGGUAAUAUUUAAUCGUUGGCUGCUCUCUUCUUCAAAUGACCCCCCAUGAAAUAUGUUUGAUGACAAGUAGGUCGAACCAUCAGUGGUUUCAUGUGUUGUGUCGUCGUAUCAUGUGACCAGAUGCAUGCCCACUAGUAACUUAUCAAAAUGAAUUUUGUUUUCUCAUUACACAAUCAAUAAAAUUAAAAAUGCCUCUCAAACUUGGC
rnacentral:lncRNA from 1 species